rnacentral:rRNA from 1 species
UAGAGUUUGAUCCUGGCUCAGAUUGAACGCUGGCGGCAGGCUUAACACAUGCAAGUCGAGCGGUAACAGAUCCAGCUUGCUGGAUGCUGACGAGCGGCGGACGGGUGAGUAAUGCAUAGGAAACUGCCCAAUAGUGGGGGAUAGCCCGGGGAAACCCGGAUUAAUACCGCAUACGUCCUACGGGAGAAAGCAGGGGCUCUUCGGACCUUGCGCUAUUGGAUGUGCCUAUGUCGGAUUAGCUAGUUGGUGGGGUAAAGGCCUACCAAGGCGACGAUCCGUAGCUGGUCUGAGAGGAUGAUCAGCCACAUCGGGACUGAGACACGGCCCGAACUCCUACGGGAGGCAGCAGUGGGGAAUAUUGGACAAUGGGGGCAACCCUGAUCCAGCCAUGCCGCGUGUGUGAAGAAGGCUUUCGGGUUGUAAAGCACUUUCAGUGAGGAGGAAAACCUUAUGGUUAAUACCCAUGAGGCUGACGUUA